AACGAACGCUGGCGGCAGGCUUAACACAUGCAAGUCGAACGCCCCGCAAGGGGAGUGGCAGACGGGUGAGUAACGCGUGGGAACGUACCUUUCAGUUCGGAAUAACUCAGGGAAACUUGUGCUAAUACCGGAUACGCCCGCAAGGGGAAGAUUUAUCGCUGAAAGAUCGGCCCGCGUUGGAUUAGCUAGUUGGUGGGGUAAAGCCUACCAAGGCGACGAUCCAUAGCUGGUCUGAGAGGAUGAUCAGCCACACUGGGACUGAGACACGGCCCAGACUCCUACGGGAGGCAGCAGUGGGGAAUAUUGGACAAUGGGCGCAAGCCUGAUCCAGCCAUGCCGCGUGUGUGAUGAAGGCCUUAGGGUUGUAAAGCACUUUCACCGAUGAAGAUAAUGACGGUAGUCGGAGAAGAAGCCCGGCUAACUUCGUGCCAGCAGCCGCAAGAGUACUCUAU
rnacentral:rRNA from 1 species